rnacentral:rRNA from 1 species
AUGCAGGCGGUUUGUUAAGUCAGAUGUGAAAGCCCGGGGCUCAACCUCGGAACCGCAUUUGAAACUGGCAGGCUAGAGUCUUGUAGAGGGGGGUAGAAUUUCAGGUGUAGCGGUGAAAUGCGUAGAGAUCUGAAGGAAUACCAGUGGCGAAGGCGGCCCCCUGGACAAAGACUGACGCUCAGAUGCGAAAGCGUGGGUAGCAAACAGGAUUAGAUACCCUGGUAGUCCACGCCGUAAACGCUGUCUACUUGGAGGUUGAGGUUUUAGACUUUGGCUUUCGGCGCUAACGCAUUAAGUAGACCGCCUGGGGAGUACGGCCGCAAGGUUAAAACUCAAAUGAAUUGACGGGGGCCCGCACAAGCGGUGGAGCAUGUGGUUUAAUUCGAUGCAACGCGAAGAACCUUACCUACUCUUGACAUCCAGAGAACUUUCCAGAGAUGGAUUGGUGCCUUCGGGAACUCUGAGACAGGUGCUGCAUGGCUGUCGUCAGCUCGUGUUGUGAAAUGUUGGGUUAAGUCCCGCAACGAGCGCAACCCUUAUCCUUGUUUGCCAGCACAUAAUGGUGGGAACUCCAGGGAGACUGCCGGUGAUGAACCGGAGGAAGGUGGGGACGACGUCAAGUCAUCAUGGCCCUUACGAGUAGGGCUACACACGUGCUACAAUGGCAGAUACAGAGGGCAGCGAAGCUGCGAAGUGGAGCGAAUCCCUUAAAGUCUGUCGUAGUCCGGAUUGGAGUCUGCAACUCGACUCCAUGAAGUCGGAAUCGCUAGUAAUCGUGGAUCAGAAUGCCACGGUGAAUACGUUCCCGGGCCUUGUACACACCGCCCG